AGAAUCAACGCUGGCGGCGUGCCUAACACAUGCAAGUCGAACGAGAAAGUGGAGCAAUCCAUGAGUAAAGUGGCGCACGGGUGAGUAACACGUGACUAACCUACCCUUGAGUGGGGGAUAACCUCGGGAAACCGGGGCUAAUACCGCAUAACAUCGAGAGAUCAAAGGAGCAAUUCGCUUAAGGAGGGGGUCGCGGCUGAUUAGCUAGUUGGUGAGGUAAUGGCUCACCAAGGCUAUGAUCAGUA
rnacentral:rRNA from 1 species